CACGUAGGGGGCGAGCGUUGUCCGGAUUUAUUGGGCGUAAAGAGCUCGUAGGCGGCUCGGUAAGUCAACUGUGAAAGCUCCGGGCUCAACUCGGAGAGGCCAGUUGAUACUGCCGUGGCUAGAGUCCGGUAGGGGAGCGUGGAAUUCCUGGUGUAGCGGUGAAAUGCGCAGAUAUCAGGAGGAACACCAGCGGCGAAGGCGGCGCUCUGGGCCGGAACUGACGCUGAGGAGCGAAAGCCAGGGGAGCAAACGGG
rnacentral:rRNA from 1 species